UGCUCUCCCCAAGGAGCCUCCUAAGUAGUAGUCGUGCUGACAGGAUCCGUGUGGACCUGAGGAGGAAGUCACAGACAGCAAUUUCCAGGAGGCUGUGUGCUACCGAGAGAAGUCGCUCUCGCCCUAAAGCAGUUGUUGAAUCUUGGUGACCCGCUGUGAAAAAGACGUACCCUCUCCGCUGGCCCUUUGCCACCAGGACCUGAGUGAAUCUUUCUGGAUCUAGCCCAUCUCGGCUGGGUUAGAGAAGCCAUGGAGAGGGCUUUGUGUCCCCACACCCGUGACAAGAGCAGUGUGAGUGCGCCAUUCUGCCCACACACUCUGCUUCACUCAGUUAACGAAACCACCACCCGAGAGGCCCGUAUUCUCCAUCUCUGCUCACGGCAGAAGAAACUGAGGUCCGGAGGCUGGAGAGGUCUGCUCAAGGCCGUCUCUGUACCAAGGUCAGGGGGGCCGCAGGGACAGAAGCCUCUCACAGACUUCCUCAUCUCAGGGGAGGACAGAGAAGACCGGGAGAGGGCUUGCCAGCCGCCAUUGAGACAAUGCCAAUCACCGUGUGCUGGGCACGUUGCCACGUGUGUUUACAAUUCUGUAGCAAUCCUGUAGGUAACAAAGACCCCUGAGUGAAGACCAAGUGAAGUGACAUGCACAGGAGGUGUCAUUUGGAAGCUGGUCCAUGGUGCUGGCUCUCUACUCUCUGCACAAGAACAAAGAAACAGAAUUUGUUCUUGGUCAAGGUUCAGCCUGCAAUUGCUCUCGGUCUCCAAGAUAGCACCUCGUCCCGUCCUUGUCCCCUCCAUGAUGUGUCAACGGGCCCACUCCGGCCCGGCCCAGAGGAGAGCUGGAACUUGCUUCAGUGACCAUGACUUCCACCGCCACAGCAGAACUCCAGGUCACUGCCAGACAACCCGGCCUGCACUCCUUCCCUCCCCCAACGCGAGGCCGCCCCAUGCCCAUGACUAGGGCUUUUUGUGUUUCCCUGCAGUUUGGCGCGCCCUCUGCGUUUCCUGCCAAUAAUGCUGGCUGUUGUUUCUGAGCAAAUGGAACAAAUGACCAACGUG